CAAACCUGCAUGACUCACGCCCAAAGAAUGCUGUGGAAUUCACCGGGAGCUUUCUGGAAGCUGGCGCCGGAGGGGAUGCGGAGGCGGGCUCUGCCCUAAGGUGCUGGGUGACCUUGGACAACCACUUUGCCCUCUGGGCCUCAGCCUCUUCCCUGUGGACGACGAAGAAUCUGGAAGAGGUGGGGGGAAGCAGAGGAAGAAGGAGAGAGAGAGAGAGAAUGCUGGAGCAGACUCCCCGCUGAAUGCAGAGCCUGACAUGGGACUCCAUCCCAGGACCUGGAAAUCAUGACCUGAGCCGAAUCAGCUGCUCAACAGACUGAGCCACCCAGGUGCCCCAAUGGGUGUAUUUUUAAUUGGCCCCUGAUCUGUCUCAGGGCAAACCUACUUUUUCCACAGCCACCGGGAAUCCAAGUAGUUAUUAUUUUAGAUCCGUGGUUUUCAAUGGGACUAUACAAUGGAAUCACCUGAGGAGCUUUAAAACUUACCAGUGCCUGAGUCCCACCACCAGAGGUUAUGACUGAAUCAAGCUGGGGUGCAGCCAGAGAAAGCAUCAGGACUUUUCAUAUUCUCCAGGUAGUUUGUUUUGUUUUGCUUUGUUUUGUUAAGAUUUUACUUAUGUAAUCAGAGAGAGAGACCGGGAGAGCACAAGCGGGGCGGCGGGGGGCAGGGGAGGGAGAAGCAGGCUCCCCGCUGAGCAAGGAACCCGAUGUGGGGCUCGAUCCCAGGACCCUGGGAUCAUGACCUGAGCCAAAGGCAGACGCUUAACCGACUGAGCCACCCAGGCGUCCCUCUCCAGGUAGUUUUAAUGCACAGCCAAAGUUGAGGACCCCUGUUUUCCAAUUUACAAGUUACUGGCUUACACUAUGCCCGUUGAUCCUCACUGUAUCUCUAAGUCACUGUUAAGAGUAUGUGGUAUUUUUCUAUUUUGUAAAAGACAAAAUUAGGGGUCAAAAGAAUCUUAGCCGGUUUUGCUUACCCUGAGCUGAAAUCUGCCCCUUUAUCACUUCUCUGUCCCUCAUCUUAUUUCUAAGGUGCUAUAUGUUAAUUAGCCCUCCUCUACAGGAUAGCCCUUCAAACAUUUGAAAACAAUGAUUCUAUCUCAACUUAGAUAUGUUUCUUUCUUUUCUUUUCUUUUUUAAGAUUUUUCUUAUUUAUUUAGAGAGAGCAUGAGUUGGGGGAGGGGCAGAGGGAGAGAGAGAAUCUGAAGCAGACUCCCCACUGAGCGCAGAGCCCAGUUAGGGGCUCCAUCUCACGACCCUGAGAGCAUGACCUGAACCCAAAUCAAGAGUCAGACGCUUAACCGACUGAGCCACCCAGGUGCCCCAGACAUAUUUCUUUAUACAGGUCCUUCAGUCCCUUCUCAUAGAGUGAGGUUACCAGAUACCUCAUUGUGCUCCUCCCUGACCCAAGGGUGCUCCAUUUUGUCCCUGCUCUUCUGGUGUGGCUUUAGGGACAAACACAAGACCCAGCUUUGGGCAGCCAGGCGGGAGGGCCCCGAGACACAACGUGUGAUUUAAUACGAAACUCCCUGUGCCCCCAAGGCACCCUCUGCUUACUUUUCUAACAUGGUGUAACACACUGUGCUUCUCCAGUUGGUUUAUACUGACCCCUGGGGCAGGCUCUGGGGCGCUGAGAGUACACAGAGACACAGAAGCAACUGACUGCAGUUUUAUUCAGAUUAGGGCGAAAAGUUAAUCUUUAGAGAGUAAUCCAUUUCCCUUCCUUGUCUUCCUUCCUUCAUUUCUUCCUUUCUUUCUGUCUUUAUUCAGUUUCUCCCUAAAUCUCAUGCUUGGAAAGUGAUGGAUGUCUACUCAUACAUGAAUUUAUAUUUAGAAUGUAUGUCUGUAUAUGUAAUAUAUAUACAUAAUCUGUAUUACAUAUCUAAACAAAUAAGGGAUUUUGCCUUUUUCUUUUCUUUUUCAAAAUACAUUGAAAAUCGUAUUAUACAUAUUGCUUGCUCUUUUCCACAAUAUCACGGAUAUUGGGGAUAUCCCUCCCGGUCAUACGUAGAUAGAUAUAAACCAUGCUUUUCCAAAGCUACAUAUUUUAUUCAGCCAUUGCCCUAUUCCAAUUUUUUUCUGUCACUAUAAACUUGACACAAUAGACAGCCUUCCACAGGUAUCCCUAAUAUGCAGGUGCCUUUAACUGCCCUGAGUUAGACUCUCACAUUGGGAUUGCUGGGGAAAAGGGAAUGUGUAGGAUAAAGGAGGACUGUCGUCUGCAUGUUAGUAUUUACUGCCUGCUGGUUUUCCCAAAAGGUAGUGGUAACUCCCAUUCUCUUUGACAAUGUCCUUUCCCCAUGUGAUCAUCAGACUGGAUGCUGCUGGCCUUUCGAAUUUUGGCCAAUCUGGUUUGUGAAAAUGACAUUUUGCCACCUUAAUCCCUUUGCCUGUUUCAUUGUUUUCAAUGAAUCAUUUUUUUUUUUAAGAUUCUAUGUUUAAGUAAUCUCUAUACCCAGGGUGGGGCUUGGACCCACAAUCCCGAGGUCAAGAGUCACAGGCUCCACCGACUGAGCCAGCCGGGUGCCCCUCAAUUAACCACUCUUACAUCAAGUUUCCUCUUCUGUCACUUGCCUAUUCACAUUGUUUGCUCAUUUUAUUGGACUUUGACCUUUUUUCCUAUCAGUUUAUAGGAUCACUUGAAAUAAAUAAAUUUUAUAUGUGUGGUGCAAAUGUUUGUACCAAGUUAUUAUGUGUCUUUUACCUUUGAUUACGGAGGGUCUUAAAAUUUUUAUGUAGUGAAAUUUGGUUUUCCCUUUAUAGUUUCUAAGUCUCCUGACCUGCUUCAGAAUGUCUCACUAAAAUAUAGACAGUCAUUCUCUCGAUUUUCUUCUAGUUUUCUGUUUUUAUAUUUAUAUUUAGAUAUUUAAUCCAAACUGGAAUAUGUGUGUGUUUUUGUGGGGUGUGUGUAUGUGUAUGGCAUGAUAUGUGUGUGUGUAUGUGUGUGUUUAUGGUGUGUGCAUGGUAGGUGUUUUGUGUGUGUGUGUGUUUGUGGUGUGUG